rnacentral:tRNA from 3 species
CGGGAGGUAGUUCAGCCCGGUAGAAUACCUGGUUUGGGACCAGGGGGUCGCAGGUUCGAAUCCUGUCCUCCCGACCA